AUUGAACGCUGGCGGCAGGCCUAACACAUGCAAGUCGAGCGGAUGAAGGGAGCUUGCUCCUGGAUUCAGCGGCGGACGGGUGAGUAAUGCCUAGGAAUCUGCCUGGUAGUGGGGGAUAACGUCCGGAAACGGGCGCUAAUACCGCAUACGUCCUGAGGGAGAAAGUGGGGGAUCUUCGGACCUCACGCUAUCAGAUGAGCCUAGGUCGGAUUAGCUAGUUGGUGGGGUAAAGGCCUACCAAGGCGACGAUCCGUAACUGGUCUGAGAGGAUGAUCAGUCACACUGGAACUGAGACACGGUCCAGACUCCUACGGGAGGCAGCAGUGGGGAAUAUUGGACAAUGGGCGAAAGCCUGAUCCAGCCAUGCCGCGUGUGAAGAAGGUCUUCGGAUUGUAAAGCACUUUAAGUUGGGAGGAAGGGCAGUGAGUUAAUACCUUGCUGUUUUGACGUUACCAACAGAAUAAGCACCGGCUAACUUCGUG
rnacentral:rRNA from 1 species